GGAGCUUUGGCGCAGCGGUAGCGCGUGUGAUUCCAGUCCACAAGGUCAUCGGUUCAAAUCCGAUAAGCUUCA
rnacentral:tRNA from 6 species